CAGUCGCGCGGUAAUACGUAGGUGGCAAGCGUUGUCAGGAUUUAUUGGGCGUAAAGCGAGCGCAGGCGGUUCCUUAAGUCUGAUGUGAAAGCCCCCGGCUCAACCGGGGAGGGUCAUUGGAAACUGGGGAACUUGAGUGCAGAAGAGGAGAGUGGAAUUCCAUGUGUAGCGGUGAAAUGCGUAGAUAUAUGGAGGAACACCAGUGGCGAAGGCGACUCUCUGGUCUGUAACUGACGCUGAGGCUCGAAAGCGUGGGUAGCAAACAGGAUUAGAUACCCCUGUAGUCCCUGUCUCUUAUACA
rnacentral:rRNA from 1 species